CCGACUCCUGCCUCGUGAUCGUCUUCUCAGCCUUCACGCCUGGCAGGCGGAAUGAGGGAAGCCCCCGCGAGGACGUGACUCGCGGGGGCUUCCU
rfam:Streptomyces davawensis strain JCM 4913 complete genome